rnacentral:rRNA from 1 species
GAUGAACGCUGGCGGCGUGCCUAAUACAUGCAAGUCGAGCGAACAGACGAGGAGCUUGCUCCUCUGACGUUAGCGGCGGACGGGUGAGUAACACGUGGAUAACCUACCUAUAAGACUGGGAUAACUUCGGGAAACCGGAGCUAAUACCGGAUAAUAUAUUGAACCGCAUGGUUCAAUAGUGAAAGACGGUUUUGCUGUCACUUAUAGAUGGAUCCGCGCCGCAUUAGCUAGUUGGUAAGGUAACGGCUUACCAAGGCAACGAUGCGUAGCCGACCUGAGAGGGUGAUAGGCCACACUGGAACUGAGACACGGUCCAGACUACUACGGGAGGCAGCAGUAGGGAAUCGUCCGCAAUGGGCGAAAGCAUGACGGAGCAACGCCGCGUGAGUGAUGAAGGUCUUCGGAUCGUAAAAAUCUGUUAUGAGGGAAGAACAAAUGUGUAAGUAACUAUGCACGGCUUGACGGUACCUAAUCAGAAAGCCACGGCUAACUACGUG